AUGACUUUACCACUCACUGGGGGUGGGGGUGGGGAGUGUAAGGUAGGGCAGGCAGGUAGGGGGCAGGCAGCAGGUUUUACUUUGCUUCCUCCCUGUCCUGUGCUUACACAGAAAGCCUGAUGGUUUUAAAAUUGAUCAUAACAAACAUUUUCUAAGUUGAGUUUCACAAAUCAAAUCCUGAUAGAAACACCUGGCUGUUCUAACUACCUGUUCCUUGAUGGCGGCACCGUUCUUCCCCUGCGCCCCAGAGAGCGUGGCCAGGUACACCUCCGCCCUCGUGUGUCUGUGUGUGUGCAUUCACGGGUGCCUGCCGGCAUCCAUGCCGGGUGAUUGUCCUCUUUGGAAGGUCCAGGCUCCAAUCAGAGUGUGUAGUAGAAGUGUUCUGUUUUCUCACAGUGGGAGUGUUUCACUUUUGAAGUAUUCACUUUCUGAAAAAAUUAGCUUUCUUCAACUCUGUGGGGUCAGUGGACACAGCCCUUCCCCCUCCCAUGACUGAGGGCCGAUCAGGGGGCCCCUGGCCAGAAGGAAUGCAUUGUUUUGGAAAUGGAUUGUCAUUCCCUCCUUAUCCCCUUUUGGGAGUGGCUUCCUGUCCUGCCACUGCUUCUGGACCCCUUCCUUCUGCAAAGACACACUGAGACAAUCAAUGUAGGGUCAUGCAACCUGGGCCGGUGCUGCCUUCAUCUGGGACCCCUUAUCGUGAGCCUCACACUGGAGGAGGAGCGGUCCCUCUCGCACCAACCCGCCACUGUGGGUGCGCUCCCGUGUAACGUCGGUGGUUCGAGGAGGAUCCUGUUUGGAGAUGGACUGCUGAACCUCUGUGAUGAUUUGCUGGCCAGCCACCACUCAUAACAAAAAGGACUUAAAUUACUCCUUAAUUCUUGCAAAAUAAUUAUCUUUGAAAUAUAAUUUACCUGCAAGACAAUGCAAUGCACCCAUUUCAAGUGUACAAUUCAGUGAGUUUCAGCAGAUGUUUAGAUCCGAGUGACCAUCUUCCCAGUCAAUGUGUAGAAGUACGUUUCUGUCACCCCUAAACUCCCCGCUGUCCUUUGCAAUCAGCCUCCCCACACCCACCCCAGACGUUCACUGGUCAGAUCUCUAUCACCGUAGAUUAGUUUUGUCCAUUACAGAGCCUCACAGAAAUGGGAUCAUAGAGUGUGGAUUCAGUGUUUGGCUUCUUUCAUUCAGCAUAUUUUUUAUACUCAUCCAUGUUUUUGUGUAUAUCAAUAAUUCAUCCCUUUUUAUUGUUGAAUAGUUUUCCGUUGUUGGUUAUACCACAAUCAGUUUAUCCAUUCAUCCGCUGAUGGAAAUUUAGAUUGUCUUCCAUUUUCUAGAAUCUGCUGUGAACUUUCACACACAUUUUUUUUGUGGAUGUUUGUUUGCAUUUUUCUUGGAUAAAUACAUAGGAGUGAACUCUCAGGAUUGAUGGUAAGUGAAUGUUUCAUUCAAAAAAGAACAGAACUGCCGACCCAUUUUCUCGAGCGGCUGUGUGAGUCCGUGCCUCUGCAGCACUGCACGCCAGCCCCUUCCAGCUCCCUACGUCCUCCUCGCACCCGGGACUGCCAGGGCUUUCGUCGUCCUGCUCAGUGUGUGUCGGGGUCUCACUGUGGUUUUAACUUGCAUUUCCUCAGUGAGUGAGGAACGUGUGUUCAUGUGCUUACUUCCAGCAGUGUUUCAUGUUUGGUUGAGUCUGUUUAACCAUUUGUCCAUUUAAAAAAUGGGAAUGUUUGGCUUCUUGUUAUUGCAUUGUAAGAAUUCUUUAUAUAUUCUGGAUACAGUCCUUUGUGUGUAUAUCAAUUAAAAAUAUUUCUGCCCA